UGCUUGUUGGUUUAGUGGUAUGAUUCUUGCUUUUGGUGCAAGAGGUCCAAGUUUGAAAUCCUGGACGGUCUC